GACGAACUGUUCGAACGUUAUUCGGAAUCACUGGGCUUAAAGGGCAUGCAGGCGGCGCGAUAAGCAGGGUUUGAAAUCCCACAGCUCAACUGUGGAACUGGGCUCUGAACUGUCGCGCUAGAGUGAAGUAGGGGCAAGCGGAACUCGCGGUGGAGCGGUGAAAUGCUUUGAUAUCGCGGGGAACACCGGCGGCGAAAGCGGCUUGCUUGGCUUCAACUGACGCUCAAAUGCGAAAGCUAGGGUAGCGAAC
rnacentral:rRNA from 1 species